rnacentral:rRNA from 1 species
UGCAUAUCAAUAAGCGGAGGAAAAGAAACUAACAAGGAUUCCCCUAGUAACGGCGAGUGAAGUGGGAAAAGCUCAACUUUGAAAUCUGGUACUUUCAGUAUCCGAAUUGUAGUCUCAAGAAGUGUUUUCUGUGCCGGUCCAUGUAUGAGUCUGUUGGAACACAGCGUCAUAGAGGGUGACAACCCCGUUCAUGACAUGGAUCCCGGUGCUUUGUGAUACACUCUCGAAGAGUCGAGUUGUUUGGGAAUGCAGCUCAAAUUGGGUGGUAAAUUCCAUCUAAAGCUAAAUAUUGGCGAGAGACCGAUAGCAAACAAGUACCGUGAGGGAAAGAUGAAAAGCACUUUGGAAAGAGAGUUAACAGUACGUGAAAUUGUUGAAAGGGAAACGAUUGAAGUCAGACGUGCGUGAUGCGGUUCAGCUCUAGUUCGCUAGAGUGUACUCCGUAUCUUUGCAGGCCAACAUCGGUUUUGUUAGUCGGAUAAAGGUUUGAGAAAUGUGGCACCUUCGGGUGUGUUAUAGUCUCAGACUGAAUACGAUUGAUGGGACCGAGGAACGCAGCGCGCCGCAAGGCAAAGGUUCCGACCUUU